UACGUAGGGUGCGAGCGUUAAUCGGAAUUACUGGGCGUAAAGCGGGCGCAGACGGCUCGUUAAGCAAGAUGUGAAAUCCCCGGGCUCAACCUGGGAACUGCGUUUGGAACUGGCAGGCUGGAGUGGGUCAGAGGGGGGUAGAAUUCCCCGUGUAGCAGUGAAAUGCGUAGAGAUGUGGAGGAAUACCGAUGGCGAAGGCAGCCCCCUGGGAUCACACUGACGUUCAUGCACGAAAGCGUGGGGAGCAAACAGG
rnacentral:rRNA from 1 species